rnacentral:rRNA from 1 species
ACAUACAAUAAGCGGAGGAAAAGAAACCAACAGGGAUUGCCUCAGUAACGGCGAGUGAAGCGGCAACAGCUCAAAUUUGAAAUCUGGUCCUCUCAGGGCCCGAGUUGUAAUUUGUAGAAGAUGCUUCGAGCGUGGCACCGGUCUAAGUUCCUUGGAACAGGACGUCAUAGAGGGUGAGAAUCCCGUAUGCGACUGGCCGCCUUCGUUCAUGUGAAGCUCUUUCGACGAGUCGAGUUGUUUGGGAAUGCAGCUCAAAAUGGGUGGUAUAUUUCAUCUAAAGCUAAAUAUUGGCCAGAGACCGAUAGCGCACAAGUAGAGUGAUCGAAAGAUGAAAAGCACUUUGGAAAGAGAGUUAAACAGUACGUGAAAUUGUUGAAAGGGAAGCGCUUGCAACCAGACUUGCACGCUGUCGAUCAUCUGGGGUUUUCCCUAGUGCACUCGGCUGCGUUCAGGCCAGCAUCGGUUUGGGUGGUUGGAUAAAGGCCUUGGGAAUGUAGCUUCUUUCGGGGAGUGUUAUAGCCCUCGGUGCAAUGCAGCCUACCCGGACCGAGGACCGCGCUUCGGCUAGGAUGCUGGCGUAAUGGUUGUAAGCGACCCGUCUUGAAACACGGACCAAGGAGUCUAACAUCUAUGCGAGUGUUUGGGUGUCAAACCCAUACGCGUAAUUAACGUGAACGGAGGUAAGAACCCUUAAGGGUGCAUUAUCGACCGAUCCUGAUGUCUUCGGAUGGAUUUGAGUAAGAGCAUAGCUGUUGGGACCCGAAAGAUGGUGAACUAUGCCUGAAUAGGGUGAAGCCAGAGGAAACUCUGGUGGAGGCUCGCAGCGGUUCUGACGUGCAAAUCGAUCGUCAAAUUUGGGUAUAGGGGCGAAA